rnacentral:rRNA from 1 species
UAAUACAUGCAAGUAGAACGCUGAAGAGAGGAGCUUGCUCUUCUUGGAUGAGUUGCGAACGGGUGAGUAACGCGUAGGUAACCUGCCUGGUAGCGGGGGAUAACUAUUGGAAACGAUAGCUAAUACCGCAUAAAAUUGAUUAUUGCAUGAUAAUUAAUUGAAAGAUGCAACUGCAUCACUACCAGAUGGACCUGCGUUGUAUUAGCUAGUUGGUGAGGUAACGGCUCACCAAGGCGACGAUACAUAGCCGACCUGAGAGGGUGAUCGGCCACACUGGGACUGAGACACGGCCCAGACUCCUACGGGAGGCAGCAGUAGGGAAUCUUCGGCAAUGGGGGGAACCCUGACCGAGCAACGCCGCGUGAGUGAAGAAGGUUUUCGGAUCGUAAAGCUCUGUUGUAAGAGAAGAACGGGUGUGAGAGUGGAAAGUUCACACUGUGACGUAUCUACCAAAA